rnacentral:rRNA from 1 species
AACGAACGCUGGCGGCAGGCCUAACACAUGCAAGUCGAGCGAGGACUUCGGUUCUAGCGGCGGACGGGUGAGUAACGCGUGGGAAUGUGCCCUUCUCUACGGAAUAGCCCUGGGAAACUGGGAGUAAUACCGUAUACGCCCUUUUGGGGAAAGAUUUAUCGGAGAAGGAUCAGCCCGCGUUGGAUUAGGUAGUUGGUGGGGUAAUGGCCUACCAAGCCGACGAUCCAUAGCUGGUUUGAGAGGAUGAUCAGCCACACUGGGACUGAGACACGGCCCAGACUCCUACGGGAGGCAGCAGUGGGGAGUCUUAGACAAUGGGGGCAACCCUGAUCUAGCCAUGCCGCGUGAGUGAUGAAGGCCUUAGGGUUGUAAAGCUCUUUCAGCUGGGAAGAUAAUGACGGUACCAGCAGAAGAAGCCCCGGCUAACUCCGUG